ensembl:snoRNA Mir3068 microRNA 3068
GGGCAUAUCCGUAGACCUUGCUUGACUCUUGUCUGUGGCCAAGCAAGGGGGACAGAGUAUGCGAGAGUAAUUGGAGUUCAUGCAAGUUCUAACCAGCUUACUCAGUAGCUGGGUGAAUUGCAGUACUCCAACAUUC